rnacentral:pre_miRNA from 1 species
UACCUACUCCCUCCGUCCGGAAUUACUUGUCAUCAGAAUGGAUGAAAAUGGAUGUAUCUAGAAUUAAAAUACAUCUAGAUACAUCCAUUUGAAUGACAAGUAUUUCCGGACGGAGGGAGUACCUA